UACGAAGGGGGCUAGCGUUGCUCGGAAUCACUGGGCGUAAAGGGUGCGUAGGCGGGUCUUUAAGUCAGGGGUGAAAUCCUGGAGCUCAACUCCAGAACUGCCUUUGAUACUGAGGAUCUUGAGUCCGGGAGAGGUGAGUGGAACUGCGAGUGUAGAGGUGAAAUUCGUAGAUAUUCGCAAGAACACCAGUGGCGAAGGCGGCUCACUGGCCCGGUACUGACGCUGAGGCACGAAAGCGUGGGGAG
rnacentral:rRNA from 1 species